rnacentral:rRNA from 1 species
AUUGAACGCUGGCGGCAGGCCUAACACAUGCAAGUCGAAUGGUAACAGGAAACAGCUUGCUGUUUCUCUGACGAGUGGCGGACGGGUGAGUAAUGUCUGGGCAACUGCCUGAUGGAGGGGGAUAACUACUGGAAACGGUAGCUAAUACCGCAUAACGUCGCAAGCCCAAAGAGGGGGAGCUUCGGGCCUCUUGCCAUCAGAUGUGCCCAGGUGGGAUUCGCUAGGAGGUGGGGUAACGGCUCACCUAGGCGACCAUCUCUAGCUGGUCUGAGAGGAUGAGCAGCCACACGGGAACUGAGACACGGUCCAGACUACUGAGGGAGGCAGCAGUGGGGAAUAUUGGACAGUGGGCGCAAGCAUGACGCAGCCAUGCCGCGUGUAUGAAGAAGGCCUUCGGGUUGUAAAGUACGUUCAGCGGGGAGGAAGGGAGUAAAGUUAAUACCUUUGCUCAUUGACGUUACCCGCAGAAGAAGCACCGGCUAACUCCGUG